AUUGUUCUCCCUCCCUCUCUCUCUCUCUCUCUUUUUGUAUACUAACAACUACCUCAAGCGACAGGUGAUUAUUGCCCUUUUUUGUUAACAGAAGAUGACAGUCACCUUUAGGAUAUAGCAAGCAAAGUGUGACUUAAAGCCUGACUACCUUUAAGGAGAGAAGGUCACAAUGCCAGGAUGGAUCAUGACUAAGAGGAGAGCAAUAUUCAAAGGGAGCAAAUAUCUUCUCCAGAAUUUUGGACUUUAUGGGAACACAUACCGAAAGUUGGAAACAGAGACCUUCGUGGACCCUCUGUAAAAUACCUGCCUCUGUGAAUGGCUGCCCUCGAGUGCCCUGGCUUUUGACAGUGCAAGAAUGACUGCCUUUUGGGGCUGGACUGUACUAUGGGGGAGAAACUAGAUCCUAUUUGUGCAGAAAUGGAUCACCUCAUUGAGAGCUUUCUGUAACUACAACUACCAGAGGCCUAUUGCUUAACUAUUUCAUGACCACAUUAAUAUAGAGUAACACUGUUAUGUGUAAAAGAAGCCUCCAUCUUUUUUUUUCCUUCUUUCCGUGAGGCUUAGGGGGAUGGGCAGUGACAGAGAGUUUAAGUGAAAUGUUUUGAUCCACAUUAGAAAAGUUUUAGUUUACCUACAAAUUGCAUACUAAAAGUUAAAAUAUUUCACAUUGCAGAGAAAUAACAACAUGGUUUUCUUGACCUUAAAAGACUC
rnacentral:lncRNA from 1 species